rnacentral:rRNA from 1 species
CAGUCGCCACGGUAAUACGUAGGUGGCAAGCGUCGUCCGGAAUUACUGGGCGUAAAGCGCACGUAGGCGGUUAUUCAAGUCAGAGGUGAAAGCCCGGGGCUCAACCCCGGAACUGCCUUUGAAACUAGAUGACUGGAAUCUUGGAGAGGUCAGUGGAAUUCCGAGUGUAGAGGUGAAAUUCGUAGAUAUUCGGAAGAACACCAGUGGCGAAGGCGACUGACUGGACAAGUAUUGACGCUGAGGUGCGAAAGCGUGGGGAGCAAACAGGAUUAGAUACCCGGGUAGUCCCUGUCUCUUAUAC